rnacentral:rRNA from 1 species
UACAGAGGAUGCAAGCGUUAUCCGGAAUGAUUGGGCGUAAAGCAUCCGUAGCCGGUUCUACAAGUCUUCCGUUAAAUCCAGCUGCUUAACAGAUGGGCUGCGGAAGAUACUAUGGAGCUAGGAGGCGGGAGAGGCAAGCGGUACUCGAUGGGUAGGGGUAAAAUCCGUUGAUCCAUUGAAGACCACCAGUGGCGAAGGCGGCUUGCCAGAACGCGCUCGACGGUGAGGGAUGAAAGCUGGGGGAGCAAACCGG